ACUCAAAUGAAUAGACGGGGACCCGCACAAGCAGCGGAGCGUGUGGAUUAAUUCGAUGCAACGCGAAGAACCUUACCUAGGCUUGACAUGGCUCUGGUAGGAACCCGAAAGGGAACCGACCCGCAAGGGAGGAGUCACAGGUGCUGCAUGGCUGUCGUCAGCUCGUGCCGUGAGGUGUUGGGUUAAGUCUCGCAACGAGCGCAACCCCUGUCCCUAGUUGCCGUUUCUAGGGAGACUGCCGGGCGAACCCCGGAGGAAGGUGGGGAUGAGGUCAAGUCCGCAUGGCCCUUACGUCUAGGGCUUCACACACGCUACAAUGGCCGGUACAAUGGGAUGCUACACCGCGAGGUGACGCCAAUCCCCCAAAACCGGCCUCAGUCCAGAUUGCAGGCUGCAACCCGCCUGCAUGAAGUCGGAGUUGCUAGUAACCGCGCGUCAGCAUAGUGCGGUGAAUGCGUUCCCGGGUCUUGUACACACCGCCCGU
rnacentral:rRNA from 1 species